rnacentral:lncRNA from 10 species
GGAACUUAGGCUCCCUUGCACGCGGGGCGGCAGCAUGCUCUGGGCUCCCUGAGUUGCUAGAACGCCGUGGAUGACGCAGGGAAGGAGGCUGGCCCCGCUAUCAGGGAGAUUAUGUCCUAGUGGGGUCCCCACAGGCAAUUAACUGAUAAGCAAACGAAGACUCUCAUUUCAUGUGAUUAGUGCUGUAAGGAAAACAAAACAGGAUAAUGCAAUGGAAAGUGACCACGUGUGGGCUAUUUUAAAUAAGGGGAUGAAGGAAGGCCUUUCUCAGGGGGUAAUAGUUGAGCUGAGACCAGACAAGAUUUAGGGAAUGCUGUUCCAGCCAGAGGGAUGGUAAGUGCAAAGGUUCCAAGGCUAGAAAGUACCUGGUACCUAGUGCUCUAUAGAUAUUUAUUUAAUAAAUUAAUGCACAGGUGGAUUGAUGGUGUCAAAGUCAACAUAUAGAGAUGAAUCUCUAAAGUUUAAAUAUUUUAUUUGGCAAUCAAGAAUUGCAAUUCAGGGCUUACACACAGACCAGGUUGUCUUUGGUAUGUCAGAAGAACAAAGAGAAGGUUUGGAGAUUUUUAUAAAACAGAAAUGUUACAUAUUGCUCUUCAAGGAAGUUUACAGGCACUAGUAAAGUGGGGGUUUAUCAGCUUCUUGGGGAGCUGGCAAGCUUUGAUUGGUAAGUGAUAGUGGUGGAUAAAACUCAGAAUUGUAGCAGGCUGUUUCAGUAGCUAUUAGAUAAAACUGGUUUUAGGUUACAGCAGGCAGUUUUAGCAGCCAGGCUUGCAAAAAAUUACUUUUUUGGAGCAAUGUUAUAUGCCCUGAGUAUUUGUUCCCCUGGCUUUUCAAUUCUGUCUUAGUUGGAUAUGACAAGAAUGACCCAAUUCGUAUGAUCAGCUUUCAGAAUGGAUGAAGAUCUUUCACAGAGUGUGACUUCAAUUUAUCUCCAGCCUCAUCUGACGACUCUAUGUCCCACGCAUUGCUAUCUACACACACUAAAUUCUUGCUUCCUAGCCUUUGCUUGUUAUCUCCUUCUCCUGGAUUUUUUUUUCUAAAUACUUUUUCUCCUGCCUAAUCCUGAAUUAACUUAUAACAUUCCAUUCAAACAUCAUCUUCUCUGAAAGCCUUUCCUGCUUCCAGCCCCCUCCCCACCCCCCACUAUGCUCCCUUUGCUCCCUAUUGGUCUCUAGCUUUAUCCCUAACUUUGCAUUAGUCACCCUUUGAUUGCCAGUUUGUAGUUUUCCUUAAACACUGCGAGGUCUUUAAUGGCAGGAAGUGGGUCCUUUUUAUCUUUGUUUAUCCAAGACCCUAAUAGGGUCUGGCAUCCAAUAAAAGUCAUUGAUUGAUAAAGAUCUAGUCUCUACCUUCAGGAAUUCAGUUAUAAUGAUCUGCAUACACUUAACUCCACCAGACUAUAAGCUUUCUGAGGGCUGGAUGGCUGUUCCAUCUGAAAUGCUUCCCCUUGCCCUCUGCCCCGACCAAGGAUGAACACUGACUGUGGUGGGAAAACCAGAUGAGGCCCAUGCUGCUGGCUGGCUACUCAGUGACUUCCAUCUUUGCUUCCAGGAGCCUGAAUUUUGCCUGAGACUCUCCCAGCCUGGGGAAGUGAAUCAGGAUUGCUCUAAGCCAAUUAGAAAAAUGUCAUUUUCUCUUGCCAGUGAUUCAU